AACGCACAUUGCGCCUCCUGGCAUUCUGGGAGGCAUGCCUGUUCGAGCGUCAUUAAAAACACCCUCAAGCACCUUUGCUUGGUCGUGGAGGAGGAGCAGGUCUUGGUGCCAUCUCCCCUCCGAAAUUGAAAGGCGGAAAUCCCCAUGUGCCCCGGCGUAGUAUGUAUCUUUCGCUUGGAAUAUGAGGUGCUCCAGCCCAAAAACCCCCAAUUUAUCCAGGUUGACCUCGGAUCAGGUAGGGAUACCCGCUGAACUUAA
rnacentral:misc_RNA from 1 species